GAUGAACGCUGACAGAAUGCUUAACACAUGCAAGUCAACUUGAAUUUGGGUUUUUAACUUAGAUUUGGGUGGCGGACGGGUGAGUAACGCGUAAAGAACUUGCCUCACAGCUAGGGACAACAUUUAGAAAUGAAUGCUAAUACCUGAUAUUAUGAUUUUAAGGCAUCUUAGAAUUAUGAAAGCUAUAAGCACUGUGAGAGAGCUUUGCGUCCCAUUAGCUAGUUGGAGAGGUAACAGCUCACCAAGGCGAUGAUGGGUAGCCGGCCUGAGAGGGUGAACGGCCACAAGGGGACUGAGACACGGCCCUUACUCCUACGGGAGGCAGCAGUGGGGAAUAUUGAACAAUGGACCGAGAGUCUGAUCCAGCAAUUCUGUGUGCACGAUGAAGUUUUUCGGAAUGUAAAGUGCUUUCAGUUGGGAAGAAAGAAAUGACGGUACCAACAGAAGAAGUGACGGCUAAAUACGUGCCAGCAGCCGCGGUAAUACGUAUGUCACGAGCGUUAUCCGGAUUUAUUGGGCGUAAAGCGCGUCUAGGUGGUUAUGUAAGUCUGAUGUGAAAAUGCAGGGCUCAACUCUGUAUUGCGUUGGAAACUGUGUAACUAGAGUACUGGAGAGGUAAGCGGAACUACAAGUGUAGAGGUGAAAUUCGUAGAUAUUUGUAGGAAUGCCGAUGGGGAAGCCAGCUUACUGGACAGAUACUGACGCUAAAGCGCGAAAGCGUGGGUAGCAAACAGG
rnacentral:rRNA from 1 species